AUGUCCCAUAGAGGCCUGGGCAGUGACGUCCCCAUGGAAGCUCGCCGUCCCGCUCCACUGGAGGCCCGUGGGCAGUGCUGGGGCAGUGGCUGCCGGAAGGACGCCGCUGUUUGCCCACCUCUGCCAGCUGGGCCCAGGAUGGCCCUGUCAGUGCCCUGGACAAACGCACAUUCCAUGGGUCGCCUCCCACAAUGUCCCCUUGACCCCAGAGCCUCCCCGGGCCACAGACCUGUGGACAGGCCAGUCUGCAGCUGGGCAGCAUCACAUCCUGUGGGCUUACCUCUGAAAAGGCUGCUGAUCUGUCCAGUUCUUCCAUCUCCACAGCCCCAGGCUGGAGCCACCCUCCCCUGCACAGGCGGCUCCCUUCACCCCCGAGGGAGAAAGCACCCCCACCUGCAGUCCCCGCAGCCCCCCCAAGCCCCACAGCCUCCCUGCAGCCCCCUGGGAGAAAGGCCUAGCCUCCCACACCCUCACUCCUGCCUUGCCUGCCUGGCUCCCUCCAGCCUUGGACCGCUGUCCCCCUUGGUCCCAGAGCCCCAGCCACUGGUCACUUCCCUCACUCUGCAGAUGCUGCUCUCCAGCCUGGCAGUGCUCACUCGUCCCCCCGUCACAACUCUGCCCCUUAGAUGUCCCAGCCCAACUGGCUGCUGCUUGUCUGGGUCCUCAGCCUGCAGGAUGUCCUGUCCCCACGUCCCAGUUGAGGUGAUCAUUGGGUGUAGCUGGUGGCUCUCUGCCCAUCUGCAUGGUGAGGCUGGAAGCUCCGUGAGAGCACAGCCUGUGCAGUGCACCUGUGCCGCAGCGCAGGUCCCGUGGUGCUGCUGCCUGUUCGCCCAGUGCUACGUCGGAGCAGGGCUGUGUCCCUGGAGGUCAUGGGGCAGCACGGAGCAGGAAAGCAGGAGGGCUGCACAAGCUGGUGGUGGGCCCAGAGGCGUGCUGGGGAGCGGGUCACACUGGCCUCCAGGGGAAGUUGGGAACAAAGUGGUGACGUCCUUUGUGGAAUACCAAAUGGGGUACUCGGGUUUCUGGGGCGGCGGCAUGAGCAGCACGUUCCCAGAAUGA
rnacentral:lncRNA from 1 species